GAUGAACGCUAGCUACAGGCUUAACAUAUGCAAGUCGAGGGGUAACGAGAGGAAAGCUUGCUUUCCUUGUCGACGACCGGCGCACGGGUGAGUAACGCGUAUCCAACCUGCCCCCAACUAGGGAAUAACCUUGCGAAAGUAAGACUAAUACCCUAUAAUUUCCUCAGAUGUCAUCUGACGAGGAAUAAAGAUUUAUCGGUUGUGGAUGGGGAUGCGUCUGAUUAGCUUGUUGGCGGGGUAACGGCCCACCAAGGCAACGAUCAGUAGGGGUUCUGAGAGGAAGGUCCCCCACAUUGGAACUGAGACACGGUCCAAACUCCUACGGGAGGCAGCAGUAAGGAAUAUUGGUCAAUGGGCGGAAGCUUGAACCAGCCAAGUAGCGUGCAGGAUGACGGCCCUAUGGGUUGUAAACUGCUUUUAUACAGGAAUAAAGUUAGCCACGUGUGGUUAUUUGUAGGUACUGUAUGAAUAAGGACCGGCUAAUUCCGUGCCAGCCGCCGCGGUAA
rnacentral:rRNA from 1 species